rnacentral:misc_RNA from 1 species
GCAAACUUGGUCAUUUAGAGGAAGUAAAAGUCGUAACAAGGUUUCCGUAGGUGAACCUGCGGAAGGAUCAUUACUGAGUAAGGGUGUUUCACGCCCGACCUCCAACCCUUUGUCUACCUAACCUUAUGUUGCUUCGGCAGGCCCGCCUGUGGUGCUCCGGCACCGCUGGCCGCCGGGGGUCUCACGAUCCCGGGCCCGCGCCUGCCGAUGGCCCUCUCACCUAAUCUCGUGUCAAAACGUGAUGUCUGAGCAAACACAUAAUCAACACAAAACUUUCAACAACGGAUCUCUUGGUUCUGGCAUCGAUGAAGAACGCAGC